rnacentral:rRNA from 2 species
ACUAAGCGUACACGGUGGAUGCCCUGGCAGUCAGAGGCGAUGAAGGACGUGCUAAUCUGCGAUAAGCGUCGGUAAGGUGAUAUGAACCGUUAUAACCGGCGAUUUCCGAAUGGGGAAACCCAGUGUGAUUCGUCACACUAUCAUUAACUGAAUCCAUAGGUUAAUGAGGCGAACCGGGGGAACUGAAACAUCUAAGUACCCCGAGGAAAAGAAAUCAACCGAGAUUCCCCCAGUAGCGGCGAGCGAACGGGGAGCAGCCCAGAGCCUGAAUCAGUGUGUGUGUUAGUGGAAGCGUCUGGAAAGGCGUGCGAUACAGGGUGACAGCCCCGUACACAAAAAUGCACAUGCUGUGAGCUCGAUGAGUAGGGCGGGACACGUGGUAUCCUGUCUGAAUAUGGGGGGACCAUCCUCCAAGGCUAAAUACUCCUGACUGACCGAUAGUGAACCAGUACCGUGAGGGAAAGGCGAAAAGAACCCCGGCGAGGGGAGUGAAAAAGAACCUGAAACCGUGUACGUACAAGCAGUGGGAGCACAGAGCAAUCUGUGUGACUGCGUACCUUUUGUAUAAUGGGUCAGCGACUUAUAUUCUGUAGCAAGGUUAACCGAAUAGGGGAGCCGAAGGGAAACCGAGUCUUAACUGGGCGUUAAGUUGCAGGGUAUAGACCCGAAACCCGGUGAUCUAGCCAUGGGCAGGUUGAAGGUUGGGUAACACUAACUGGAGGACCGAACCGACUAAUGUUGAAAAAUUAGCGGAUGACUUGUGGCUGGGGGUGAAAGGCCAAUCAAACCGGGAGAUAGCUGGUUCUCCCCGAAAGCUAUUUAGGUAGCGCCUCGUGAAUUCAUCUCCGGGGGUAGAGCACUGUUUCGGCAAGGGGGUCAUCCCGACUUACCAACCCGAUGCAAACUGCGAAUACCGGAGAAUGUUAUCACGGGAGACACACGGCGGGUGCUAACGUCCGUCGUGAAGAGGGAAACAACCCAGACCGCCAGCUAAGGUCCCAAAGUCAUGGUUAAGUGGGAAACGAUGUGGGAAGGCCCAGACAGCCAGGAUGUUGGCUUAGAAGCAGCCAUCAUUUAAAGAAAGCGUAAUAGCUCACUGGUCGAGUCGGCCUGCGCGGAAGAUGUAACGGGGCUAAACCAUGCACCGAAGCUGCGGCAGCGACGCUUAUGCGUUGUUGGGUAGGGGAGCGUUCUGUAAGCCUGCGAAGGUGUGCUGUGAGGCAUGCUGGAGGUAUCAGAAGUGCGAAUGCUGACAUAAGUAACGAUAAAGCGGGUGAAAAGCCCGCUCGCCGGAAGACCAAGGGUUCCUGUCCAACGUUAAUCGGGGCAGGGUGAGUCGACCCCUAAGGCGAGGCCGAAAGGCGUAGUCGAUGGGAAACAGGUUAAUAUUCCUGUACUUGGUGUUACUGCGAAGGGGGGACGGAGAAGGCUAUGUUGGCCGGGCGACGGUUGUCCCGGUUUAAGCGUGUAGGCUGGUUUUCCAGGCAAAUCCGGAAAAUCAAGGCUGAGGCGUGAUGACGAGGCACUACGGUGCUGAAGCAACAAAUGCCCUGCUUCCAGGAAAAGCCUCUAAGCAUCAGGUAACAUCAAAUCGUACCCCAAACCGACACAGGUGGUCAGGUAGAGAAUACCAAGGCGCUUGAGAGAACUCGGGUGAAGGAACUAGGCAAAAUGGUGCCGUAACUUCGGGAGAAGGCACGCUGAUAUGUAGGUGAAGUCCCUCGCGGAUGGAGCUGAAAUCAGUCGAAGAUACCAGCUGGCUGCAACUGUUUAUUAAAAACACAGCACUGUGCAAACACGAAAGUGGACGUAUACGGUGUGACGCCUGCCCGGUGCCGGAAGGUUAAUUGAUGGGGUUAGCGCAAGCGAAGCUCUUGAUCGAAGCCCCGGUAAACGGCGGCCGUAACUAUAACGGUCCUAAGGUAGCGAAAUUCCUUGUCGGGUAAGUUCCGACCUGCACGAAUGGCGUAAUGAUGGCCAGGCUGUCUCCACCCGAGACUCAGUGAAAUUGAACUCGCUGUGAAGAUGCAGUGUACCCGCGGCAAGACGGAAAGACCCCGUGAACCUUUACUAUAGCUUGACACUGAACAUUGAGCCUUGAUGUGUAGGAUAGGUGGGAGGCUUUGAAGUGUGGACGCCAGUCUGCAUGGAGCCGACCUUGAAAUACCACCCUUUAAUGUUUGAUGUUCUAACGUUGACCCGUGAUCCGGGUUGCGGACAGUGUCUGGUGGGUAGUUUGACUGGGGCGGUCUCCUCCUAAAGAGUAACGGAGGAGCACGAAGGUUGGCUAAUCCUGGUCGGACAUCAGGAGGUUAGUGCAAUGGCAUAAGCCAGCUUGACUGCGAGCGUGACGGCGCGAGCAGGUGCGAAAGCAGGUCAUAGUGAUCCGGUGGUUCUGAAUGGAAGGGCCAUCGCUCAACGGAUAAAAGGUACUCCGGGGAUAACAGGCUGAUACCGCCCAAGAGUUCAUAUCGACGGCGGUGUUUGGCACCUCGAUGUCGGCUCAUCACAUCCUGGGGCUGAAGUAGGUCCCAAGGGUAUGGCUGUUCGCCAUUUAAAGUGGUACGCGAGCUGGGUUUAGAACGUCGUGAGACAGUUCGGUCCCUAUCUGCCGUGGGCGCUGGAGAACUGAGGGGGGCUGCUCCUAGUACGAGAGGACCGGAGUGGACGCAUCACUGGUGUUCGGGUUGUCAUGCCAAUGGCACUGCCCGGUAGCUAAAUGCGGAAGAGAUAAGUGCUGAAAGCAUCUAAGCACGAAACUUGCCCCGAGAUGAGUUCUCCCUGACUCCUUGAGAGUCCUGAAGGAACGUUGAAGACGACGACGUUGAUAGGCCGGGUGUGUAAGCGCAGCGAUGCGUUGAGCUAACCGGUACUAAUGAACCGUGAGGCUUAACC